AGGGUGUAAACGCUGCAGACUUGGUGUUGGGAACCCUUCGGGGGUGUCCAGUGCCGGAGAGAAGUUGUUAAGUCUGCUACUUGGGGAGUACGUCCGCAAGGAUGAAACUUAAAGGAAUUGGCGGGGGAGCACCGCAACGGGAGGAGCGUGCGGUUUAAUUGGAUUCAACACCGGAAAACUCACCAGUGAAGACUGUUACAUGAAAGCCAGGCUGAUGACCUUGCUAGAUUUUCAGAGAGGUGGUGCAUGGCGUAGACGU
rnacentral:rRNA from 1 species